GGACGGUUAGCUUAGUUGUUAGAGCGCUGGGAUGUUACCCGAGUGACGCGGGUUCGAGUCCCGCAUCGUCCA